GACGAACGCUGGCGGCGUGCUUAACACAUGCAAGUCGAACGGAAAGGCCCUGCUUUUGUGGGGUGCUCGAGUGGCGAACGGGUGAGUAACACGUGAGUAACCUGCCCUUGAUUUUGGGAUAACUUCAGGAAACUGGGGCUUAUACCGGAUAGGAGCUCCUGCUGCAUGGUGGGGGUUGGAAAGUGUCGGCGGUUGGGGAUGGACUCGCGGCUUAUCAGCUUGUUGGUGGGGUAGUGGCUUACCAAGGCUUUGACGGGUAGCCGGCCUGAGAGGGUGACCGGCCACAUUGGGACUGAGAUACGGCCCAGACUCCUACGGGAGGCAGCAGUGGGGAAUAUUGCACAAUGGGCGGAAGCCUGAUGCAGCAACGCCGCGUGCGGGAUGACGGCCUUCGGGUUGUAAACCGCUUUCGCCUGUGACGAAGCGUGAGUGACGGUAAUGGGUAAAGAAGCACCGGCUAACUACGUG
rnacentral:rRNA from 1 species